GUGGGUUUUCUCAGCAGAAAAAAAAAGUAACUGAAGGUGGGAGGCCGGAGGGGAAAGAAAGAGAGAGCGAGAGACAGAAGGGCGACCAUGGCGGCGGUGGAUCUGUCGAAGCUGCUCAAGGAGAAGCGGUUCUGGGCAGCCUCCUUCCUCAUCGCGUGGGCGGCGGGGCUCCAGGGGCACAUGAUGUGGUUGAAGCGGCAGGACGCCUUCAAGGACAAAUUCGGCGACCCCGAAGGCGAAGCCCCCAACAAGGUCACGGAGCAGCCGGCCGACGACAGCACCAGCCUCGCAGGCGAGCUCACCGCCGACGCCGAGAUCAGAUAGGUAGCUGGGUACAUGGAUGAGUUACAUGAGUACGAGAUCCCUCUUUUAUUUUGCCCUGUUUACCUCGACCGAUCGAUCUAUCUCUGUGUAGUUAGUACUAGUUCUUGCAGUGCAAGCUUGCUCACAUAAAUAAUGUUGGGAGUUGUUGUAA